rnacentral:rRNA from 1 species
GCCUUCGGGNACUCUGANACAGGUGCUGCAUGGCUGUCGUCAGCUCGUGUUGUGAGAUGUUGGGUUAAGUCCCGCAACGAGCGCAACCCUUGUCCUUAGUUGCCAGCACGUAAUGGUGGGAACUCUAAGGAGACUGCCGGUGACAAACCGGAGGAAGGUGGGGACGACGUCAAGUCAUCAUGGCCCUUACGGGUAGGGCUACACACGUGCUACAAUGGCGGAUACAGAGGGUUGCCAACCCGCGAGGGGAAGCUAAUCCCUUAAAGUGUGUCGUAGUCCGGAUUGGAGUCUGCAACUCGACUCCAUGAAGUCGGAAUCGCUAGUAAUCGUGUAUCAGAAUGCCNCGGUGAAUACGUUCCCGGGUCUUGUACACACCG